UACGUAGGGUGCAAGCGUUGUCCGGAAUUAUUGGGCGUAAAGAGCUCGUAGGCGGUCUGUUGCGUCGGCUGUGAAAACCCGAGGCUCAACCUCGGGCCUGCAGCCGAUACGGGCAGACUAGAGUUCGGCAGGGAGACUGGAAUUCCUGGUGAUAGCGGUGAAAUGCGCAGAUAUCAGGAGGAACACCAGUGGCGAAGGCGAGUCCCUGGACAACUCCUGACACUGAGGCACGAAAGCUAGGGGAGCAAACAGG
rnacentral:rRNA from 1 species